rnacentral:lncRNA from 1 species
GUGUGAAUAUAUUUUUAACAACUAAUUUUUGUAUUGCUUAAUGAUUAUAACAUGAUUAUAUUAUUUUUUAAAUAACAUGAUUAUAACACCGAUAAUUUAAACUAUAAAUGGUGAUGCAAGACAUUUAUGGAUCUUCUAACUUCUUUUCCUUAGUUUGGAAAUGUCAGCCCUGUGGUGAUGGCUGGCAGCAGCACGGGAAGCACUGCUACUCUUUCUCUAGAGAGCAGAUUCCGUGGAGCAGUUGUGAACUUCACUGUUCUCCUUUACGUUCAAGUUUUCUUAAGAUAAGCACGGAAGGAGAGAUGGAGUUUGUAAAAAGAAUGUCAAAGAAGCAGUGUUUUUUGUAUGAGGACAAGUUCGGGUUCAGUUUAUACUACAAUAGCAGCCAAAUGAAAUGGGUGUGGCUAGAUGGUUCAGCUUUUAUUCUGGACAAGUAAGUAUCCUCCUACUGUCUUAGAGCACCAAUUGCAGGAUGAGCACCUUACUUAGCUCAUUUCAUAUGAUCAGAUGUUAAAUUCCAUGUCUGGUCGUUUCAUGAAAAGUUAAAAGAGAAAUCAUUGGAUGAGGAGGAAACAUAACAAAGUACACUUAUUUCAGCAGCAUGCUAAGAAGUUUACUGAUGAAAUCUAAAUAAAUGUCCUGUCAAAUCUUAAGGGUUUUUAAUU